UCAGCAUUAUUAGUAUUAAUAGAUUCAUAAAUAUUGCCAGCAUUGAGAGCCAACGUGCGUUUGCCGCAAUACGAGUACCACUCCAAUUCGGGAUUAGCGACGACCCCGGAAGAUCCCUUAGUCAUUACUGCAAGAGAAAACAGUGAUUUUAAGAUAUACGAAAGAUACAAUAAAACAGCGCAAAACGCUUAUGCAUUAGUAAACUUGUGGAUUAAAAAUGACACAGAUUGAUCGAAACUCAGAAAAGAUACAUAAGUCACAGAUGAUGUAACACAGAUGAUGUCAUCACAGUACCUACUUUCCAAGGAUUUAGAUAAAUUCACAGGAAACCCACUUACCCCGCUAAGGGAAGUUCAACGGAAACAGGUAAUACCUACUUACGUAUACUUACUCUCAUACCAAACCUCACACCCUUAUAUUAAAUACCUUGCAGCCACUUUGGUUGUUAUGUCUAAAGGUUCUGUAGUAAUUUACGAUUGCAUUGUUUUUUUUUUAUUUAUUAUUGUUCACUUGAGGAAGAGUCUGUUAAGACUUCCAGAAUAUUAUUAUGUCCGGGAAAAUACAAACAGAUUCCAAACCAGACAAAAGUAGGUGUUGUAAAUAUAGGUACUUACUAUAAAGAACAGCAUAAUAUCAAAAACUUACCGGACUAUUUACUAACAAAAAAUCAAUAAAAACAAUAUAUUUAGGUAAUUCAAAUUCGUGUAAAAGUAAAAGUAAUAUAAAAUUGUAACCUUAAACUUGUUUACAUGUUAUUUUAGUUGACGUUUUGUCACAAGAGAGCAUUUAGUUAUCUGUGCUCAAAGCUCAAAGAAAGUCUAAAGAGGUAUUUUCGUUUACUUACUGAAAAAAAUGCGACUAAACUGACGCCAACCCAUACCUCGCCCUCACAUCCCUAAUUUAAGAGCCACGCUAUUAGCCACGCUCUAGUCGACGUAGUAUUAUCCAUGCUAUUUUUUUAGGGAAAAUAGGGCAGUGGUCUCCCUCUUGCCUUCCGCCCCGUAGUACUCUGUCUGACUUCGCCCUACUAACUUGAAUCAAUACAAGUAGGCAGUAGACGAACCUUUCCAUUAUUUUCACUAUUCAUUAGUAAAGCAAAAGCAAAGCAGAAAAGCAGACUACGGUCUGCUUUUAUGGAAGAAGCAGAUAGAAAAUAAAGGCUGUCUAGCUUCGACCCUCUUGUCUUGUAAAUUCUCGUUUAAAAUACAACAGCAAAAAGAAUAUAAUUCACUACGUACAACAGCAGAAUGUCAAUCACUUGUCAAUUGUAUGCAAAAUUAACACGAAAAUAUAAAUAAAAAAAAAUAGUUAUGAUAUUAUCCUAAUGGAAAAUGUUUACUUUAGGUCCACAUAAACUAAACAAAUUCAUGUAUGAAGUCAAAGUAUGGGCGAAAGUGCUAGGAUUUCACGUCGUUCAUUCUUUAAAUUAAGACUAGUUGUGGCAUCAGUUUCAAUUUGCUUAAUUGCGCUGUUUUGUUUAAUGUUUUAUCUUUUAUGGAACAUAAAUGUAGACCGCAAGGUAAAUGCCACACUUGUGGCAGUUUCGAUGUCGUUAGAGAAUAAUGGUUCAAUGAAAAACUACGAAAAACGUCUACCUAAGGAAAUUGUUAAGACCCAUUUGGUAAGGACUUGUUAAGACUAUUUUCUUAUUUUAACUACGAAAACCUGUAACCUACCUCCGCAGGGAAUUCAUAAACAAAAAUCGAUAAAUGAUUCCAAAGCGAAUUUAGAGGUGUGAACACAUCGGACACCAUAAUUGAUACUGCGUUAUAGAUCUCGUUAAACAUUUUCGAUGAUGUAGGUACUUCCUUUUCAUCUAUUAUGACUCCAAGCUAUUUGCAAGUAAACGAAUAGCCGCUGCUGUUCACAAAAAAUCUCUCGUUUUGAUUACAGAUGCGGCUACGCAACAAAUUAUUUGAUAAAGUGAAAAAAUCAACGACGCAAGAAGUUUUAGAAACGGAAGAAUUCUUAGAAAACUCUACAAUAAGUACUAUGUUCACCGAUCCAUAUACCCAAAUAUUUACCGCACAUACUGCAAAUUCAUCUAAAGUAAUGAAAACAAUUACGAAUGAAAUAUUGCAAUCAACUGUAUUGCUCGACACUACUGCGUCAGUAAUAACUAGGCACCCACAUGAGAUCAAAGGGAACCUCAAUAAGAUGCAAGCUCCUGUUUAUCGUAAAGUUGGCUUCAAAAGAUCUGUUGAUAUUAAAGACAAACUGAAAGAAGUGGAAAGCAGUGACGCAGGCGACACUGAUGAUGACGAUGAUACUGGUAGAAGAAAAAGAGAUGUAGAUACUUGAAUAAUAUAAUGCAAGAAUAACAUAAAGAAGGAAUUUACACUUGAAGAACCUGAAGACUUUGCUACUCUUCAGUUCAAUUAACCGCUUUGUUGCAGUUGUAACAUAAAUGAAUAUUUGUAUAAAAGUAAUGAUUUUGUGACGUACCUAGCGCAAAAAAUGUGGACCUAACUAUAUAAAAAUCAGUAUGUUGACAAAAUUAUUCAAAAUAUUGAAACGUGAAAGAUAUUUAUUGUGUAAAUUGUUGUUGUCUUAGAAAUAUAUUUAAGUAGGUACUUUGCCGAAAUGAGUUUUCCUUCCAUCGCGAAUACUACGCAUCGAACCAAAUGAGAUGUGGUUUUUUAAGUUUGAUAUCUCUAGGAACGACACGCUGGUAUUUCUCAAGUAAUACAGAUUAAUGACAGCCUGAGGAGCCUGAGGAGGCUAUUGAAAUAUGAGAAAAGUGGAGAGACUAUGCACCAGUGGAAAAGUAUAUUUCUUGCACCAGUGGAACAAUGUUGACUGACAAUAGUACCUAUGUAGUUAUUAUAGUGAUAUACUAUUGGUGGUAUCAAUGCUUAAAUCGCUUGCACUGGAACUUUACGAACUACUAGGAUCUUUUCUAUUAUUUCAGUUCAUUAUUUCAGUUCAACCAUAGAACAACACAAGAGGGAGUAGCUAUACGUAGAUGUUCCCCUGUGUGAACCUAUAUUUCCCCUAGGACAGGUAGUUCAGGUCCAUGUUGCUCUACGAGUUCAACCGAUUUCAACGAAUGCAACACGUAACUUCGUUCUAUCAAGUUUUUAUUAUUGCGUAUGACAGACAAAAAUAAAAUAUCCUGCGUGGAUCAUAUAUCCAGCUGAAGCACCCCUAACCAAGUCUCUGCCGAAUCCAUCACACAGUGCAGCUCAGCUAUGCCACCUGGGAACCGGUGCAGAGGGCACUCGUUCACUAUGUGAGAUAUGGUUUAAUCCAGGUAUGGCGACUCCUUUAAGCCCCAUUUAUGUUCUAUCAGGUGUUAAAAGUUUUUAUCUACCAUAGAGAAGUUCUGUCAUUGUACCAAUCUGAGGUACCAAUAAAUAAAUUGAAAAUUGUCGGCGGUCCUAGGUAUUGUCUAGGAAACAGCAUUGUUGUUUAUUUAUGUUUUCUUACAUCUGUCAUCUUGGUCAAGUGUGCGUUGAUUGUUAUGUAUUAUCUUGAAGAUUUUAUUCUGGACUUUUUUCCCCUUUCCUUGUACGUAUUGUUCUUUUGCUAUCAUCUUUAUUUGUGUGCUUAUGCAUUAUGUAUGUGUGUAUUUCUGAAUGAUAUGAAAAUAUGUAGAUUUUUGCGAAUGAAGUGUUUUACUUACUGUAGUGACAAACUGGAGGUGAAUGACCGCGUGAGUUACCGAGCAAGGCAUUCUCUGCCUUUGGCGCACACUUACCACGUUGUUGAUUUUUUUACUUAUUUAAGAUUGACAUUCACUACAUGACCGAACAAAGGGGUAGACUAAGUAGAUAAGGUCCCUUAAUACGAGAAUGAAGAACGAAAAGUUGCAUGGUAUGUCUUGCGGACUAAAUAUGAAAUUAUCGUUAGUGUUCAAGUAAAAUGCAGUUGCAACUAUUUUAUAGAAGCAAACCAACCUUGGAUAACGCCUGAUAUAUUCAUGUGAACACAAGUCAAAUGUGUGAUUGCUAACUCAAAUUCAUCAGGCAAAAGUAAAAUAUAAGUUAUAUCUAUUACUUCAUUGUACGAAAUCUCAGUAAUCAGCACCGCGGUUUCGUACGAUUUGCCGUUCCCCCUCGUACCGCAUCUGUGUUCAAUGAGCUUAAUAUUAAUUAUAAAAGCUUUUCCAGGUUCGAAUAUCACGAUAUGAGGCUAGCGGUGUAUCUGACGGCAUUUUCCAUCGCUGCCUGCGUAUUGUUUAUGGUGUUUACGUAUAUGCUGACAUUGGCUGAUAAGGGACUGGGGGUAUUGUGGAAGCUCACCCACAAUAAGACACCAGACCCUGACGAUAGCACUUUACUUGUAAGAAGAUUAUUUUAGCAAGUUACUAAGUUGUUCAGUUCAGAUGAGUAUAGGAUCCUAAAUUGAAUUGUGUUAAAAAUUCACAACCCGAUUUGAAUGAACGUCAGCUCGCGAUUUAGAAUAUUGACUUUAUGUCAUGUUUGAUUGAAUCCUAAAGUAAAUCGCAAUAGAGUUCAUAUAGUAAGACUUAUGGAACACUGAAUAUUGUACAAUCGCGAUCCUCCAGUUUUUUAACUCCUCUAAGCAGUUUAAUUACCAAUUUAGGUCAAUGUGAAUAAAAACUAGAAGCUUCAAUGUAGGCGGCAGCACUGUUGAGUGUUCCUAUUUUGAUUUUGAGUCAUGAGCAAGCUUAUGUUAUGUUGUAUGUAACUAGUUAUACAUAUUUUAUUUCAGCCACCUGAAGACUAUAUAGAUUUCAAAGCUUACUUAGCGAACAAGUCAUCCGAUUAUAAUAUGAACCUUGUAUGAAACCAGCGGAUACCUAUAAAUAAUUAAGAUCUGUACAAAUAAAAGAACCAUGUAUUAGUCUACUGUUAUUCUAUACUUAGUAAAUAUAAUUAAUUGUAAUUUAAAAAUUUGUUUAUCUUGACGUAUGUACAGGAUGUUAGUAACAACGUAACGUAAACUAUGUGAGAUGAAUCAGACCAUAAUUCUGAGUUGAUAUCAAGUGGAAUUUUCUGUCGCUAAAGUAUGGUACUAA